AGAGUUUGAUCCUGGCUCAGGAUGAACGCUGGCGGCGUGGAUAAGGCAUGCAAGUCAUACGGGAACGUAACAUUUUGCGCAAGCAAAAUUGUACGUUCUAGUGGCAGACUGGUUAGUAACACGUAGAUUACCAACCCCAUUCACGGGCAUAAUCCGCCGAAAGGCGGACUAAUUCCCGAUAGUCUCUGAAGCCGUAAGGCUGAAGAGUAAAGGCGCAAGCCGGAAUGGGAUGGGUCUGCGGCCUAUCAGCUAGUUGGUGAGGUAAUGGCCCACCAAGGCUUUGACGGGUAGGGGGAGUGAGAGCUUGUCCCCCAACAAGGGCACUGCGACAUUGGCCCUACUCCUACGGGAGGCAGCAGUCGAGAAUAUUGGUCAAUAGGGGAAACCCUGAACCAGCGACGCCGCGUGCAGGAAGAAGGGCUUCGGUCUGUAAACUGCUUUUAUGGAGGAGGAAUCCCGAGAGUAAUCGAGGGAUGACAGUACUCUAUGAAUAAGGGGAGGCAAACUCUGUGCCAGCAGCUGCGGUAAUACAGAGUCCCCAAGCGUUAUCCGGAUUUAUUGGGCGUAAAGGGUCCGUAGGUGGUUAGGUAAGUCUGAGGUCAAAUACCCCGAGCUCAACUUGGGGGACGCUUUAGAUACUGCCUGACUUGAGGGCGUUAGAGGCUGAUGGAACGGUCGGUGUAGGGGUGAAAUCCGUUGAUAUCGACCGGAACACCAAAUGCGAAGGCAUUCAGCUGGGGCGACCCUGACACUGAGGGACGAAAGCGUGGGGAGCAAAAAGGAUUAGAUACCCUGGUAGUCC
rnacentral:rRNA from 1 species